CCUACGGGCGGCUGCAGUGGGGAAUUUUGCGCAAUGGACGAAAGUCUGACGCAGCAACGCCGCGUGGGUGAUGAAGGUCUUCGGAUUGUAAAACCCUGUCGUCGGGGACGAAGGUGGGCUCGUUAAUAGCGAGUUUGCUUGACGGUACCCGGAGAGGAAGCCCCGGCUAACUCUGUGCCAGCAGCCGCGGUAAUACAGAGGGGGCAAGCGUUAUGCGGAGUUAUUGGGGGUAAAGGGUGCGUAGGCGGGGGUAAUCCCCGGGCUCAACCUGGGAACUGCAUCCAAGACUGGAUCGCUGGAGUGCUGGAGAGGGUGGUGGAAUUCCUCGUGUAGCGGUGAAAUGCGUAGAGAUGAGGAGGAACACCAGUGGCGAAGGCGGCCACCUGGACAGUAACUGACGCUGAGGCGCGAAAGUGUGGGGAGCAAACAGGAUUAGAUACCCUAGUAGUC
rnacentral:rRNA from 1 species